UACGGAGGGGGCUAGCGUUGUCCAGAAUUACUGGGCGUAAAGCGCACGUAGGCGGAUUGGUAAGUCAGAGGUGAAAUCCCGGGGCUCAACUCCGGAACUGCCUUUGAUACUGCCAGUCCUGAGUUCGAGAGAGGUGAGUGGAAUUCCUAGUGUAGAGGUGAAAUUCGCAGAUAUUAGGAAGAACACCAGUGGCGAAGGCGGCUCACUGGCUCGAUACUGACGCUGAGGUGCGAAAGCGUGGGGAGCAAACAGG
rnacentral:misc_RNA from 1 species